rnacentral:rRNA from 1 species
AAUGAACGCUGGCGGCAGGCUUAACACAUGCAAGUCGAGCGCCCCGCAAGGGGGGCGGCAGACGGGUGAGUAACGCGUGGGAAUCUACCCAUCUCUACGGAAUAACGCAUGGAAACGUGUGCUAAUACCGUAUACGUCCUUCGGGAGAAAGAUUUAUCGGAGAUGGAUGAGCCCGCGUUGGAUUAGCUAGUUGGUGGGGUAAAGGCCUACCAAGGCGACGAUCCAUAGCUGGUCUGAGAGGAUGAUCAGCCACACUGGGAUUGAGACACGGCCCAGACUCCUACGGGAGGCAGCAGUGGGGAAUAUUGGACAAUGGGCGCAAGCCUGAUCCAGCCAUGCCGCGUGAGUGAUGAAGGCCCUAGGGUUGUAAAGCUCUUCCACCGGUGAAGAUAAUGACGGUAACCGGAGAAGAAGCCCCGGCUAACUUCGUGCCAGCCGCCGCGGUAA